UAUUAAAAAUUUUAUAUAUUUAUACUAUUAAAAAUUGACAUGACUAAUAGAAUCUCUAGAUGGUAACACGUGGUGUGCUAUGCGUACCUUAUGCUAAUGUAUAGUGAUCAGUUUUUAACAGUAGAAAUUGAUAAAAUUUUUAACA
rfam:Gossypium arboreum cultivar AKA8401 contig_11628_3, whole genome shotgun sequence.